GCUUCAUUAAACAAAUUGCAAUGUCUUUCAGUUGAAUAGGCACAUAAUUUGUGUGAUAUACAAUUUGUAAGCUUUUUUAUAAGUCAUUUUUUCAAGUUUAAAUAUUUGAUAUAUUUAGUACAUUUGUAGAUGUUUAUGUUAUUAAAAUGAUAUUAGGCAACAAAAAAUAUGUCUGGUUUCCUGCCUCCUGUCAUAGAAAAAAAAAGUCAGUAGUUUGAAAUUCUUUUUAUUUAUUUUUUUGUUUUGUGAAUUGACAAAAUCUGGAAAAAGUACAUGUUUUCUCCAAGUCCAAUCCUGAUUUACACAAAUAUCUGAUAAUUCCAGCAUGCAUGAUGGUACAUUUGCAAUUUUCAAUGUUUUGACAACUUUUCAAUCAAAUUUUUGUCAAUCUUUGGUCAAAUUUGACUGAGAAUCCAGUGAAAAUAGAAUUUGUAAUCUACUCAAAUGACACAAAGCUCUAUUUCUUGAAUACUCUUUUGAAAAAGGCAAUAAAAUCUUUUAGGGUCAGUGGUCAGACUAAGGGUCAGUACGGAUGCAAGAAAACAGACAUAUUUAUGUUUUAGUCUUAUAGAUAAAGAGUGCAAUAUAUUGCUGGAUAGUCUUGUUUCAAAUUUUUAAAGAACAGGACUCCUCCUGCUUUAGGAAUUUUGUUUUUUUCCAUCAUUAAAUGGCCUGGAAGCCAUUUUCAAAAUAAAUUUUAGCUUUUGCUAAAUGUUCUGUCUAAGUCCUAUUACUGUAUCAUAUUUAUUCCUGUUUAAUUGUUACUUCAUCUCUACUUCCCCUAAAUCCAUCAAAUAUAUUGAAAGGUUAUGAAUUAUUGUUAUUUCAACAUUUUCAUGGUCAAAUUUUCCAUUAAAAUGUUUAUUAAAUAACUUGUCAUUUAAGCCUUUUUUCAGACAAUCAGUUUUCAGUGUUGUAUGGAUAUCUUUGUGGCCAAGUUGUGGGACUUUUAUAAGUUCAACAUGUCAAUCAGCUUAAGGCAAUUAAGACUUUGCAUCCAAAACAAGCAGUCAGGAGUACUAUCUAUAUUGUGGAUAAGAUAAUGAUCCUCAAUGGUAGUUUAAAUGUGGUGUACUUAGUUAGUUCUUAUAAGAAUGAUUUUAAUGACAUUUUGCUAUUUGUAUUAUUUGUUUCUUGUGGGACAUCAUCUGGAAAUCAUCAGAAAAAAUGUUAUAUAUGUCAUGUAUUUAUAUCACAAAUAAGUAUAAUUGUAAAAUGGAAAUACUGGCAUAACUGUUGGAAAAUGUAAUAUUGUUAAUGUAGGGUUUUUUCAUAUUUUUUAAGAAUAAAAAUCAUUGUUACAGAUGUAUAUGUUAUUAGUGAAACAAAUAUUUUAUCACAGUAUGGAAUUAUGUAGGGUAAAUAAAUCAAUAUUCUCUAGCUAACCAAACAUAAGGAAACAACAAAAACUAGCUGUUGUUAUUAAAACUUUUAUUGAAAGGAUAAUUACACAGAGAGAUUUUGACAGAUUUAUUUGUAACUGAAAAAUGGAAAAAAAAUCAUACUUUCAAUAGGGUGCCUUAUAAAAUCUAGUGAACAGUGCAUGCUUCAUUAAACAUUUUUUAUAUUUAAAUGGAAUAUUUUGCUAUCUAGAAAGUUUGGCACUCACAAUUUAACAAAAAGUUCAUUUCAAGCUAAAGAAUUCAUCAUUUACCAAAACUUUUAGUAGAACUCUGGACAAAAAUUAUUUAUAAAAUAUAUAUCAAAAUAACAAGCUUCUAUUUUUAACAUUUUUUUUUUUAUUCUGCUUUUAUGGUUGGUAAAGCAAAGGCAUAAUUCCAUCAUGAAGUUUGGUCAUUAUUGGGUUCUUGCAUGACUUUAUAAUAUUUAUACAUUGAACAAACAACACAAAGUAAGGAGUUGCAAAGUACAUAAUUUAAGACAGUGAAAUACCCUUGAACUUGAAUAAGAUACUACAUUUUACAAGUUUAUGUAAUUUGAUCUCAUAAACAUUUAACCUCUACAUUUUCAAUUUAUAUUUAACAAACAAAAUAGAAAUUACACAAUAUAUAUUUUUUAUUUUAUUUUUAUAUUAGAAAAAUGCUGAUAGAUCAAAACUCGAUUAUUUACUUGGUCUAAAUAAAAAAAAAUGUGCCAUGGAAUGUUUAGGAUAAAUAAGGUUAGGAAAAAGUGAGUUUAUCGAUAAUGAUAUAUAUUGUUUUUGUGUAUUGAUAUUCGAUGAGUUUCUGUUAAUUUAUCUUUGUGAAUCAGAGAACUUGCAUUUGAGUAUUAAAUUUAUAUAAUAAUUAUAUAA